rnacentral:rRNA from 1 species
UACGUAGGGUGCAAGCGUUGUCCGGAAUUAUUGGGCGUAAAGAGCUCGUAGGCGGUUUGUUAUGUCGGAUGUGAAAGCCCUUGGCCCAACUGAGGAAGUGCAUCCGAAACUGGCAGGCUAGAGUACUAAAGAGGGUCGCGGAAUUCCCGGUGUAGAGGUGAAAUUCGUAGAUAUCGGGAGGAACACCGGUGGCGAAGGCGGCGACCUGGGUAGAUACUGACGCUGAGGCGCGAAAGCUAGGGGAGCAAACGGG